rnacentral:rRNA from 1 species
UACGAAGGGGGCUAGCGUUGCUCGGAAUUACUGGGCGUAAAGCGCACGUAGGCGGUCUUUUAAGUCGGGGGUGAAAUCCUGGAGCUCAACUCCAGAAUGCCUUCGAUACUGGAAGACUCGAGUCCGGGAGAGGUGAGUGGAACUGCGAGUGUAGAGGUGAAAUUCGUAGAUAUUCGCAAGAACACCAGUGGCGAAGGCGGCUCACUGGCCCGGUACUGACGCUGAGGUGCGAAAGCGUGGGGAGCAAACAGGG